rnacentral:rRNA from 1 species
AUACGUAGGGGGCGAGCGUUGUCCGGAAUGAUUGGGCGUAAAGGGCGCGUAGGCGGCUUUGCAAGUCAGUAGUGGAAGUCCAUUUUUCAAGGAUGGAAGUGCUACAGAAACUGCGGAGCUUGAGUGCAGGAGAGGUUAUCGGAAUUCCCGGUGUAGCGGUGAAAUGCGUAGAGAUCGGGAGGAACACCAGUGGCGAAGGCGGGUAACUGGACUGCAACUGACGCUGAGACGCGAAAGUGUGGGGAGCAAACAGGAUUAGAUACCCUGGUAGUCCACACUGUAAACGAUGAAUGCUAGGUGUAGGAGGUAUCGACCCCUUCUGUGCCGCAGUAAACACAGUAAGCAUUCCGCCUGGGGAGUACGGUCGCAAGAUUAAAACUCAAAUGAAUUGACGGGG